CCUACGGGUGGCAGCAGUGGGGAAUAUUGGGCAAUGGAGGAAACUCUGACCCAGCAACGCCGCGUGAAUGAUGAAGGUCUUCGGAUUGUAAAGUUCUUUUCUAAGGGAAGAAGAACGUGACGGUACCUUAGGACUAAGCCUCGGCUAACUACGUGCCAGCAGCCGCGGUAAUACGUAGGAGGCAAGCGUUAUCCGGAAUGACUGGGCGUAAAGGGUGCGUAGGUGGUUUGACAAGUUGGUAGCGUAACUCCGGGGCUCAACCUCGGCACUACUACCAAAACUGUCGGACUUGAGUGCAGGAGGGGGAAAAGGAAGUGCCAGGGGAGGGGUGGAAUGCGUAGAAAUUAGGAGGAACACC
rnacentral:rRNA from 1 species